rnacentral:rRNA from 1 species
AACGAACGCUGGCGGCAUGCCUAACACAUGCAAGUCGAACGAUUGCCUUCGGGUGAUAGUGGCGCACGGGUGCGUAACGCGUGGGAAUCUGCCCUUAGGUUCGGAAUAACAGCUGGAAACGGCUGCUAAUACCGGAUGAUAUCGCGAGAUCAAAGAUUUAUCGCCUGAGGAUGAGCCCGCGUUGGAUUAGGUAGUUGGUGGGGUAAAGGCCUACCAAGCCGACGAUCCAUAGCUGGUCUGAGAGGAUGAUCAGCCACACUGGGACUGAGACACGGCCCAGACUCCUACGGGAGGCAGCAGUGGGGAAUAUUGGACGAUGGGCGCAAGCCUGAUCCAGCAAUGCCGCGUGAGUGAUGAAGGCCCUAGGGUUGUAAAGCUCUUUUACCCGGGAAGAUAAGGACUGUACCGGGAGAAUAAGCCCCGGCUAACUCCGUG